UACGAAGGGGGCUAGCGUUGCUCGGAAUUACUGGGCGUAAAGCGCACGUAGGCGGCUUCUUAAGUCAGGGGGUGAAAUCCUGGAGCUCAACUCCAGAACUGCCUUUGAUACUGAGGAGCUCGAGUCCGGGAGAGGUGAGUGGAACUGCGAGUGUAGAGGUGAAAUUCGUAGAUAUUCGCAAGAACACCAGUGGCGAAGGCGGACUCACUGGCCCGGUAC
rnacentral:rRNA from 1 species